AAUCAACGCUGGCGGCGUGCCUCAGACAUGCAAGUCGAACGAUUAAGACUUCCUUCGGGAAGUGUAUAAAGUGGCGCACGGGUGAGUAACACGUAAGUAAUCUACCUUCGAGUGGGGAAUAACGUUCGGAAACGAACGCUAAUACCGCAUAAUGCAGCGGCAUCGCAAGAUGACAGUUGUUAAAGGAAUUUAUUUCGCUUGAAGAGGAGCUUGCGGCAGAUUAGCUAGUUGGUAAGGUAACGGCUUACCAAGGCUACGAUCUGUAUCCGGUCUAAGAGGACGGUCGGACACACUGACACUGAAUAACGGGUCAGACUCCUACGGGAGGCAGCAGUCGGGGAAUUUUGGGCAAUGGGCGAAAGCCUGACCCAGCAACGCCGCGUGAAGGAUGAAGUAUUUCGGUAUGUAAACUUCGAAAGAAUGGGAAGAAUAAAUGACGGUACCAUUUAUAAGCUCCGGCUAACUACGUGCCAGCAGCCGCGGUAAU
rnacentral:rRNA from 1 species